CUCAAUGGUGGGAUCGGGCGGGGGCGUCGUAAGACGCGCCGGUGUCAGUGAGGCCGGUAAUGCCAACUCCGUCCGGUUUCACCACCCGU
rfam:Trichuris trichiura, WGS project CBXK01000000 data, contig: TTRE_1861